GACAAAACUUGUGUGAGAGACAGACAAGCAUAGGCGUCAACUUAAUUUUCAUCAGCACACAUUAUUCCAUCGUCUGCUAUGGCGGCCAGGCAUAAACACGGGCCCCUGUGCCAUACAUAGGGGUUUAUCGUGUAUGUUGAAAUCUACAUCCACUUGGAAUAAACAGAACUUACAACCCUGCA